GACGAACGCUGGCGGCGUGCUUAACACAUGCAAGUCGAACGGAAAGGCCCUGCGUUUGUGGGGUGCUCGAGUGGCGAACGGGUGAGUAACACGUGAGUAACCUGCCCUUGACUUUGGGAUAACUUCAGGAAACUGGGGCUAAUACCGGAUAGGAGCUCCUGCUGCAUGGUGGGGGUUGGAAAGUUUCGGCGGUUGGGGAUGGACUCGCGGCUUAUCAGCUUGUUGGUGGGGUAGUGGCUUACCAAGGCUUUGACGGGUAGCCGGCCUGGGAGGGUGACCGGCCACCUUGGGCCUGAGAUACGGCCCAGACUCCUACGGUAGGCAGCAGUGGGGAAUAUUGCACAAUGGGCGGAAGCCUGAUGCAGCAACGCCGCGUGCGGGAUGACGGCCUUCGAGUUGUAAACCGCUUUCGCCUGUGACGAAGCGUGAGUGACGGUAAUGGGUAAAGAAGCACCGGCUAACUACGUG
rnacentral:rRNA from 1 species